AUUUUCAGCAGCUCGUUAAACGACACAUCUUUUUGACGGGACGGCUGAUUUCAAAUGACUCGCAGCUUUAUUAAACAACAAGAAAUAUCGGUUGAAGGAGAUUACCUCGAAUUUCAUAGACGACAGGGAAAAUUUUCGCUGUUCGAUGCAAACUUUUCCUCCCGGUAAGAAAAGUUUUCCUGUCUGGAGCAGAACUGUGUCCGUAGCUACCAUUUUCAAACUAGAAAAACGAAAAUUUACAAUUUUAGUGAUUCUUAUCCCACUUUUCUACUUGCAUUUUAAAUUAGAAAUUUAGAAUCAUUCUAAUCGUUUAACGGUCCCAUUAAACGAAGUGGUCAGUCGUCACUGCACAUUUUGGAAGCCGUUAAACACAGUGGUCGAAGUCGAACAACGGGAUUGACAUUGUCUGCUUUGUUGCUGCUGACAGCUGCAAACUAGAAGAAAAGUCUCAAUCUUUUGUCAUUUUCGCGUGUCAAAAUGACUAAAUUCUAAUAGAGGGUAAUUCUUGAUAAGGAUGAUCGGGUAUGGGAUGUGUUAAUCCUGAAGCUUCCAUUAUAUCUUGGAUAGGAGUUUGAUAGAACUGGUUUCUUCUCAGCCACUCACACUGAGUUACAGAGUUAUUUAAAGCUGGACUGAGUAAUCAUGUGAGGAUUGAACUUUGAAGUUAGAGCAGAAACAAAGACGCUGCAUGAGUCAGCAUUAAGCCUUCACUUUAAGGAUGUCUCAAAGCUCAUAUUCACUGGAAAUGGGUGAUAAAGGGUAACUGAUUGAUCAACUCAUGAAGCAUUAGCAAGUGACAGAACUGAAAAGUACAGUAGGAGCUUAAAAAAGGUUGCUGAUUCUGUUGGUAAUUGUAGAUUGUAUUUUAUAAAAUUCCAGCUGAUGAAGUUGCUAGAAGACUAUCAACUCAUAGCAUUUCAACAAAGAAGAAUUUUGUAGAUUUUCUCCUUUCCUUUAGUUUUUAUUAGCAGUUCCAUUGUAUUGAAGCUAGACAAUAGGGCCAGGCAGGUGAUUGUCCAUUCCUCGAUCUUCCUGAUUAAGCAAUUUAUUUUACUUACAGUAGUGACCCAAAGUUUUUGCUUGCGCAAUCUGAUUUUUUGUUAUGCUUUAUACUGUUAGUGAAAGUUUGAACAUGGAAUCAUCCUAAUGGUGUGUGGUUAAUUUCUUUUCUA